ensembl:snRNA
GUAAUAUGUGAAAAGAGAAAAGGUUAGCACUUUCCUUGAUAAGGCUGGAAGAGGUCCUAGUGGCCUUAAAAAACACAUACAGUUAAGGCACUGCCAUCGACUCUGUGGCAUCGAACCAUGUUUUUUU